AUUGAACGCUGGCGGCAUGCUUUACACAUGCAAGUCGAACGGUAACAGGCCUUCGGGCGCUGACGAGUGGCGAACGGGUGAGUAAUGCAUCGGAGCGUGCCCAGAGGUGGGGGAUAACGCAGCGAAAGCUGUGCUAAUACCGCAUACGAUCUACGGAUGAAAGCGGGGGACUCGCAAGAGCCUCGCGCGAUUGGAGCGGCCGAUAUCAGAUUAGGUAGUUGGUGGGGUAAAGGCUCACCAAGCCAACGAUCUGUAGCUGGUCUGAGAGGACGACCAGCCACACUGGAACUGAGACACGGUCCAGACUCCUACGGGAGGCAGCAGUGGGGAAUUUUGGACAAUGGACGCAAGUCUGAUCCAGCCAUUCCGCGUGCAGGACGAAGGCCUUCGGGUUGUAAACUGCUUUGUACAGAACGAAAAGGUCUCUAUUAAUACUAGGGGCUCAUGACGGUACUGUAAGAAUAAGCACCGGCUAACU
rnacentral:rRNA from 1 species